UUGGAGCAGACGUUUAGCAUCUCUAACCUCUAGCCCAACGGCUAGACAGAGAGCUAAAGCGGAGCGGCAGAAGCAAACGAGGUGGAUUAGUGGCGCUUGCUAACAGCUCACGGUGUCCAGGACAUUUUCCGGUGGCAAUAUCGCGUCUGCUGUCCAGAAGUUCAGCCGUUUGCCUCUGAUGACAAUCAUGAGACUGUCACCCAGAAGCAGUCUUCAGUCAGAGGCCUCUUCAGAUUCAGCGCAUGACUGACUGCUACUGGACAUCCUUCCAGCCCACGGCGUCACCGUCCACAACGACAGCGUUCAUGUUCCUCUGCAACAGGCUGGGACGAGUGAGGAGAUCGAAAAAAAAAAAAGAACAGCACCUGAUUUUCUCCAGGGCUUUUCUACAGUCACAGGAAACGUACUCGGCUCAUCCUUGCAAUUUGUUUGAGCCGCCAUGUUCAGAGCGUUUAGCUAACAGAACGUGGAGCUGAUCUUCUCCCAAUUUCAGCUCCUCCUCCAGCGACGCAACGGAAAUGUGUCAGUAAUGCGCUAAGCACCAAUAGAACCACAAUCUCUCACAAAAAAAACAAUCACACUGUAACUCCAGCACACCCCUGGGAGCGUCACACCGAAGUUUCUUUUCAGAAGCUUCUUUGGAGCGUGGAGACUAAUGACUACAUGUUUCCGCGCCGAAAUAUUCAAUAAACGGCUCAU